GAAAUGCGAUAAGUAGUGUGAAUUGCAGAAUUCAGUGAAUCAUCGAAUCUUUGAACGCACAUUGCGCCCUUUGGUAUUCCUUAGGGCAUGCCUGUUCGAGCGUCAUUUGUAACCUCAAGCUCAGCUUGGUGUUGGGUGUCUGUCCCCGCCCCGCGCGGGGACUCGCCUCAAAAACAUUGGCGGCCGGUAAGUUGGCUUCGAGCGCAGCAGAAACGCGAACUCGAGGCCCGACGGAUCGGCGACCAGAAGUCACUUCUUCCACAGCUUGACCUCGGAUCAGGUAGGGAUACCCGCUGAACUUAAGC
rnacentral:misc_RNA from 1 species